rnacentral:rRNA from 1 species
CUCGUAGUUGAACCUUGGGUCUGGCUGGCCGGUCCGCCUCACCGCGAGUACUGGUCCGGCUGGACCUUUCCUUCUGGGGAAUCUCAUGGCCUUCACUGGCUGUGGGGGGAACCAGGACUUUUACUGUGAAAAAAUUAGAGUGUUCAAAGCAGGCCUUUGCUCGAAUACAUUAGCAUGGAAUAAUAGAAUAGGACGUGCGGUUCUAUUUUGUUGGUUUCUAGGACCGCCGUAAUGAUUAAUAGGGAUAGUCGGGGGCGUCAGUAUUCAGCUGUCAGAGGUGAAAUUCUUGGAUUUGCUGAAGACUAACUACUGCGAAAGCAUUCGCCAAGGAUGUUUUCAUUAAUCAGGGAACGAAAGUUAGGGGAUCGAAGACGAUCAGAUACCGUCGUAGUCUUAACCAUAAACUAUGCCGACUAGGGAUCGGACGGUGUUUCUAUUAUGACCCGUUCGGCACCUUACGAGAAAUCAAAGUUUUUGGGUUCUGGGGGGAGUAUGGUCGCAAGGCUGAAACUUAAAGAAAUCGACGGAAGGGCACCACCAGGCGUGGAGCCUGCGGCUUAAUUUGACUCAACACGGGGAAACUCACCAGGUCCAGACAAAAUAAGGAUUGACAGAUUGAGAG